GAUGGGGUAGUGAGAUCACAGAGCUGGGGGCGGGGCUGAGAUGGGGUGGAGAGAUCACAGAGCUGCCCUCCACCCCUGCUCUGUUUCUUUGCCAGCAUCACCCUUGAUUUACCGGUGUCUUCGCCUAUGUGAUUACAGCAGGACUAACUGAGCAAUGUUUUCUGGCUUUUCAACAGCUCUUAGGUUAACUUGCAUCUUCCACGAGAUCUGGCAACAUUGCCAGAGUCAUUAUUAACCCCAUCUUACAAAUAUUCUGAAGCUCAGAUAAGCCAAGGGUCACAUGCCGGGAGACAGAGACAUGGACAAGCAGUCGGGAGUUGAAGCCACCUCGUCUGCCUGACUUUAGGAUCCUGUCUAUAAUGGCACAGCUGCAUCGUAAGCGCUGUGACAUUUUAAUUGCACAUAGCUAUGUUUAGAAAGGUUUCAUAAUGAGAGGAAAUGACCCCAUUGAGAGACAAGGCAAGGCAUGAUCAGGCUGAAGUGGCCGUUGCAGCCCUGCCUUCUGUUCCCAUCCAGUCCAGGCAGGUGCAGGUCUGCAGGAGAGUAGGGAGCCAUGGUCUUCGCUAAGCAAUCUGGGAGUCUAGGAACAUUAGCAUUAAACCAUGCCGUAUUCUGAGGAACGGGAAGAGGGUUUUGUGCUUUUCUACUCCGAGAUGAGUCAUUUCUUUGUCGAGUGUAUCCACACGGUAUGCUGCCAAAUGUUAUAUUGAGGUUUCUAUUGCUGUAAUAAAACACCACAGCUGAAAGAAACUUGGUGAGGACAGAAUGUGUCCCCUCAUAGCCCAUCCCUGAGAGACGCCAAGGCAGAGAGACUCAAGCCAGGCAGGAACCUGGAGUCAGGAGUCAACUCACAGGCCACGGAAGAGUGCUGCUUCCUGGCUCACUUUCUACGGUUUGCUCGGUUUGAGUUCUUAUAUAACCCAGAACCAUCUGCCCAAGGUGGCCCCACCCUCGGUGGGACGGGCUUUCCCCACCUCCAUCUUUAGUCAUGAAAAUGCCCCCACAGACUUGCCAAGAUGGUCAGAGCUUGUGUCAAGUUGAUCCAAACUAAUUAACACACUGACCUACUAGUUAUCUGUUUGAUUCAAACUAAUCAGCACACUGACCUACUAGUUAUCUGUUUGAUCCGAAUUAAUCAGCACACUGGCCUACUAGUUAGCUGUCUUCAUCUUGCUUUCAGAUAUCUUGUUCUGGUAUGGCUUGUUAAGUAACCCUUACUCAACUAAUGAAUGGCCUCAGAGAAGCAACACUAGUAAUUCAGACACGGUGUUUAUCAUCUUCUCUUUAUGUGCAGAGGUGAAAAUCUUUUUAUUUUCUUUUAUUUUUUUAUGGUUUUCCAAGAAAGGGUUUCUCUGUGUAGCCUUAGCUGUCCUGGAACUCACUCUGUAGACCAGGCUGGCCUCCAGCUCAGAAAUCCACCUGCCUCUGCCUCCCAAGUGCUGGGAUUAAAGGCAUGCGCCAUCACUGCCCGGCGAAAAUUCUUAAUAAAAAAGGAAAAAAAAUAACAAUGGGUUUGCUGAGGUCUCCUAUGUUAUGUCAUUUUUGGUAAUCUCUCAUUUAAGUUGAACAGUGUCACAGGCAUGCGUAUACAGGACCCUGCGAAGGUCUGUAUUCUGUAUGCUUCCUGGCAGCAUCUCUUGGGAAUCAUUUGAUGCAUCCCUCAAGAACAAGGGAACGUUACUGUCAGAAAAUGUCGACUGUGUUUAAUGCUGCUCAGAAGAGGAAGGUAAACCUGGGUGGGCAUUUGGGGCUGUGGCGUGUGUAUGGGGGACAGUGUGGGGUGUUAGGACUGGAGGUGUAAAGUGUGCAAGGGUUAUGGUGGUGUGGAGAUCUGCACGGGUGCUGUGUAGGGUUCGUGGGUGUGGGGGGUCCAUGUGUGUGGUUGUGUGGGUGCUGUGUGGACUGUGGGAACUGUGGGGUGCUGUGUGAAAUGUGUGGAGCAUGCAAGCAUUAUGGCGGUGUGGAGGGCUGUGUGGGUACUAAAUGGCAGUGUGGGGUGCAGAAUGAGGUGUGUGAAGGUGCUGUGUGAAGUGCAUGGAAUGUACAGGGGUCAUAAAGGGGUAGAGGGCUGUGUGGGUGCUUGCUAUGUACAGAGCUAAGGGAUGUGUGGGGGUGCGACGUAAAUCGGGGUGAAGGAAUGUUUACCUAGGGUGAUCGGGACAUCUCACCAGGAAGGGGAGAGUUGGGAAGCACUAAGCCAUGUUCCUGGCCUGCAGCCUGUGACCAGAGGAGAUGCCGUAGGCCCCUGAGUGAAAACACUCCUAACUGCAAAUGCUCAAGGCGCAUGUGUUGCUGGUGGCCUCCGGAGCUUAGGUGUUCCAGUAAUGAGCCAUUACAGGGCAUGUAGACUGCUGCC